AUUGAACGCUGGCGGCAGGCCUAACACAUGCAAGUCGAGCGGAUGACGGGAGCUUGCUCCUUGAUUCAGCGGCGGACGGGUGAGUAAUGCCUAGGAAUCUGCCUGGUAGUGGGGGACAACGUCUCAAAAGGAACGCUAAUACCGCAUACGUCCUACGGGAGAAAGCAGGGGACCUUCGGGCCUUGCGCUAUCAGAUGAGCCUAGGUCGGAUUAGCUAGUAGGUGAGGUAAUGGCUCACCUAGGCGACGAUCCGUAACUGGUCUGAGAGGAUGAUCAGUCACACUGGAACUGAGACACGGUCCAGACUCCUACGGGAGGCAGCAGUGGGGAAUAUUGGACAAUGGGCGAAAGCCUGAUCCAGCCAUGCCGCGUGUGUGAAGAAGGUCUUCGGAUUGUAAAGCACUUUAAGUUGGGAGGAAGGGCAGUAAGUUAAUACCUUGCUGCUUGACGUUACCGACAGAAUAAGCACCGGCUAACUCUGUGCCAGCCGCCGCAGUAA
rnacentral:rRNA from 1 species